AAAAUGAAUACUGCAGCCAUACAAGAAGUGGAAGGAGAGUGAAGUGCACUCGAUUAUAUAAGUUUUUAUUGGAAGAGGCGGAAUUUGAGGCUCCAACUGCGCAAUUGUUUUAUAAACGAUUUUUACAAAAAUCGCAGUUGGAUGUCUCAUGGGAUCUGGUGCGGUGGAAGGUCCGACAUUUGUAGGCGCAGUACCGUAAAGCCAAUGACUGGUUUGCGUCAACGGGUGCAGGACUACAAGAUAAAGCUGACGGCAGAACCAUCGAAGAAAAAUUUUCUAAAAUUUAUCCAUAUUACGACAAGCUGAG